CCUGAAUCAGCUUCAUCAUAGCUACCCAUUUUUUAGAAGUCGAGACAGGAUGGGAAUUGGCCAAACUUGAUGUUUUAGAUGGUUUUUUUUGUUGGAAGUUGGAAAGCAAUAAACUUGAACUAAAGUGAAGACAAAUUCAAUGAAGCAUGUUUGGCUUUAUAAUGAAAAUUAAAAUAGGGUAAAGCACCGAAAUUAGGAACAAUAAAGCGAUAGCAUCCUAUACCAAACCCCAAGAAACAAGCAAACGAAGCUACAAUGGGAAUGGAAAACUUUAUGUUAUACUUUGAAUUGUAGAAAAUAAUGAUACAAGGACAGAAGAGAGGAAACAGAACAAAAUCAAAUCGUGACCAACCAAAAGAUGAGUGUGUCGAUGACAGAAAGUUCGAAACAUAAACAGCCCCACAAGUUCCUACAGGAACUAGACAGCAGAACUAUAUGAAACAAUGUAUUCACAUUGAAGUUUCGGAUAGAUGCCACGUACAAGCCAUGUUGCCAUUACCUCAUAUGCUCUUUGUGUCAAAUGAGCUCCAUCCCAACUAAGCUGUUCAUUAGGGUUUUCGCAUACCGGUACUUUUGGAUCUCCGCACCAACUUGAUAAGCCAGAAUUGUAGUCUUCCCCAAUUCCGCAGCAAGCUUUUUGCAAUGAUGUUGGAUCAAAACCAGAUGAGAUUUUUCGAAAACUCAGAACAUGACUAGAACCAUUCACAGUACGAUCACAUAAACUUAUGGAUGCAAAUAAAUCAGACUUACCAAGCAGAUCAGCUUUGCUCAAAAGCCACAGGAAUGCAUUGUAGUAGUCACCGUAGACAACGAUUACAUCUGGAUGUUUUUCUUUUAGCUGAUCAGCAAUAGCUUGUUGAAGAAGAUGAUUAUGAUAGAUUGAAAAAAAGGCUUGACUUCGUCCCUUUCGUAUACCUACUCUAAGACAAAAAAAAAUCAUUUUAUUAAUUAAGCUUUUUGUUUAUUAAUAAUUUGUUUUUUUUUCAAAUUCAUUAAAUACAAUUAAAAACAUUUGGAAGAAAAAUCUAAUGGUAGACUAGAUAUAGUUAAGAUAAUAUCUAACAGAGAGAUCGAUGUUCGAGUAUUUGUUGAAGUUCCUACGUAACUUUUAAUAAUUUUACAAACGGAUAGAGAUAAUAGUUUAUUCGAACAUUUAUUUUUAAUAGAGUGAAGAAACCCAAUUAUUUAAUUUAUGGGUAAACUACAUAAAGGGUAACACAAGUAUAAAAAGUUACAAAAUGUUCAUCUAACUAUUCAAUAUUGUUUUUUUAGAUCACCCGGCUAACGGUGGCUACUUUUAAAAUUUGAAUAAUAGAAAUUUAACCCUCAACACUUAUAUAUUGUAUCAAUUUAGUCUUGAUUCUAAAAAAAAAAUUUAACUCUCAACAUUUACACAUUGUAUAAUUUGGUCUCUCUUUUUGUAAUUUUGCUUUUCUUUGUGACAUUUAGUGUUAAUUUUAAAAGAAUAAGAAAAGAAAAAAAAUAUUAUCUUAGAUUUCUGGGUGCUCCUAUUUUUUAUAUAUUUUUAAUCAAAUUUAACUGAUAAAUUUAUUUUUAACUUUUUAAGUGAAAGGGUAAAGAAAAACAAAGUUGUACUAGAAAAAAGAAGAUCAAACUACCCAAUGUAUAAAUGUUGAUAGUUAAUUAUUUCUGGAAUCAAGAUUAAAUUGACAUAAUUUAUAAAUAUUGAGGGUUAAAGUUGAUAUUAUGCGAAUAUUAAAAGUUGCCACCGAUGAUCAGUAACCAAAAAAGACAAAACUGAAUAACUUAGUGAUCAUUUUGUAACUCUUCAUAAAUUUUAGUACAAAAUUAAGUGAAUGUUAACGUGUUUGAGGCAAAUCUCGAUGAACAUGUCAUGCAACGCAUAGCUAAAGGGGUAGAUAAGAGCUUUAGACCUCUUUUAGUUAAAUGGUAUCAUUAUGAUUAUAGUGCCUCUUAAAUGUCAAUUGUUUAAUUUAGUUCCUUUCUAGCUUUUAUUUAAAUGGAACAAUUGUAAUUUAGACCCUUUUCAAAUGUUUAAAUUUAAUUUCAGUUAUUUUAACGUAAAAUAUUUUAGCUUUGUCCCCUAUUUUUUUAAUUUUAUCUUGGCUCUUCAUCACAUAAUUCAUGACUGACAUAUAUGCCAUAGGUCAUAAGAUUGAGUCAAACUAUGCAAAAACUCUUUAGUUUCACCUGUUUGAGCACUUCAAGGCGUUCUCACUCUCUAAACCCACCAAGGAUCUAGACAAAGUCGGGAGACAAAACUCCGACUGGGGACAAUACUGGACUUGCUUAUAUCUGCUUUAUAGUUGUAUUUGUAGCAUACAAUGUAUAUUUUGUCAAAUUUGAAUACUUCUUGUUUGCUUGUCUAUUAUUCUUUUGAUAGAAGAUACAACUUUCUUUAUUUGUAUGUCCAUAUAAUUUGUUACAUUCGAUCUGUGAACCAUAUUUGACCUUCAUAUUGUCAACCAUGCCACUUGUUCAAUGGAAAAUUACCUUUGUUGAUUUGUUCUUGGUUGACAUUAAGUUCAAGGUUCGAAUCAGGAAAACCAAUCUCUCUCCCCUUAUUAUAUUUAUGUAUAUACAUGUAUUUGACCUUCAUGUUUGUUGGUGAGAAAAUGGUACAGAGUAAAUUGAAUUUUGCUUUUUGUUUGGUGUGUUUCCUAGGGAAAGCUUUAUGGAAGCCAACAAGAAUGGAAAUUUGGUUGAUGUUGAUCGGAAGGCGUUCGAAACUUGGAAAAAAUGAGCGAGGAGGUAUAGGUCCCUUGCUCCUCCCACUUUGUCAUAACUUUUCAUUGGAAGUUUUCUGUUGUAAUUUUGUAUUGAGUAUCGUCCCGAGUAUUUUCUUUAAUAGGAGAGGAAACCAUAUGUUACUCAGCCUACAUGAAGGAUAUGACUGAAGCGGAUAAAAAUAUUGUAAAGGUAACUGGGAUUCAGAGUUUAUGGAUGCUAAUUUCGUAUAAUUUAAACUUUCUAGAGCGACCUAAAUAUGUUGUUGGUGUAAUUGGUGAAAUUGUUUGUUGUGCUUUCAUAGCAAUGCUGAUACAUUCUGAAUAUUUGAUCAUGGAACUUGUUCCGUAGAUUCUUAAUUCAGAACUAUGAAUAGGGGCAUACUAAGGCAUACUAAAGAUGCAUGAUUUUGAACUCAUGAUCCUCUCAUCUUUACAUAAUCUAUGUUGCCACUCGGUUUUCUCCCUAUCGUUGUCAAUUAUUGUCAUCACAAUUGCUUUUCAAUGAUUUUUUCAGUUAGAAUUAGUAUCUUUUCCUUGUUUUGUCCACAAAAGCAAGAAUGAUAUAUGAUAGCUGUGAUUUAUCUGACAAUUAGCUUCUCUAAAUCUUUCACCCUAAUCAAUUGUCAAAAAUUUGCUGUUCUAGUGCUUAUUGGCUUCUCGUUUUUAACUUGAAAGUUAACUUAUCUAUUGUUCAAACAUCAAAAUGGAACAAAGUUUUGCAUCAUAUUCGAAGUUAUUAAUGAGUUAUUUUCUUUAGGUGGAUGAUGAGGCUGAUUCAGCAAUGGUUGGGAAAUUUGAUGAGGUUUGUAUAUAUGUUUGGAGCACAAAAAACAUAGCAAAUAUAGAUAAAUUUACGUAUUGUAUAUCUACUUGUGCUUAAACUAAGUCAUUCCCCUGCCAGUUGAGGCUCUGAAACCUUUGGGCACUGAAGUUCGAGUUUCACUAUGUAAAUCAUGUGUUGGUUCUCCCCCAGAUUUAUUUUGUUUACUUAGUUAGAGUUGAGUUAGCUUCAGUGAAUGUAACGAUUGAUUAUGUUAGUUCCCCCCUCUUUUGCCACCUCUUCUUCGUUGAAUUUACAGUUCUAUGAAGAUUAUGGGUACUAUGAAACAUCUGAUGAUGAUGGUGAACCAUACCACUCUGGAGGAUUCAAGAGCUUAAACACAACUGAACAGUAAUCGAAGUCUUCCCCACAUUUCAGUUCAAUUACCUAACUUAACCGCAAUCAUAUAUUGUGCACAAGACCGAUAAGUUAUGGCUUUCAUGAAGCAGGGAAACUGCUAUCGAGGGCGGAACUUGAAGAUGUUCUGGUUUUUGUUUCAUGUCAAUGGACCUUAUCCAACUGGCAAUGGUGGAAAAAAAAAGUUUGCCAUUUUGAUUCAUUUGUUAAGGCAAAUCAUUUGGCUAUUGUAAAGUAGUUAUAGGGGUUUUAGCCUUCGAAGCAGAUUGGUAUUUGUUUUGCUAUUUGGCAGUGGCAGUGGCAAUGGCAAUGGGGGUUUCACAGGUGAGUGGCAAGGGCUAUAGAGGAAGCAUCAUUUUGUCUAUAUUUUUUUAGUUUUAUGGAAUUUGGUUGAUGGAAUAGGUGAUAUGUUGGGUUGGAUAAAAUAAUCUAUAUUUUAUUGAAGUUAUGUUUGUUUUUAUCUGUUAGAAAAUUGAAGAAUGAUAUUAGAAAAUAUUUAGUCAAAUAAUUUGUAUUAAUAAUAGUUAAUUAUGCCUUUGUGGCUAAGCUCAUGGAAAUCAUUUAAAAAUAAAAUCUAAUAAAUAAUUAAACAUAUGAUUUAAAAUUAAUAAUAAUAACAAAGUAAUAUGUACGAAAUUUAAAUAGGUAAAUACAUUUGAUUAAGCUUUAUGUUCUGUUCUAAAUUUGGUUUCUUAAUACUUCUUCUGAAUAAGUUGGUGUCGAGUUGAUUCAUGAUACCAAUUUAGUCACAUGGUUAAAUAACUAUAUAGAUACAAAAGUUAAAUAUUUAAGAUGAUUGAUGCCUUCUGAACAUAACACCAUUUAAAUUUAUAUAAAUGUAUGAAAAUACGAAAAAUACUCAAUAACAAUAUUUAUUAAUAAUUUAAAUUUUGAUUUUUUUUAGUUUUCUUUUAUUCAAUUGGUGUCAAGUUAAAUCGUGACGCUGAUUCAGUUACAAUAUAUAGAAUAUGACGUGAGUGACAGACCAAUUUUAUUUAAAAUUUUAAUAUAAAAUAACAAUAAAGGUUUGAUUGAAACGGAAAAAUUAAAGAUUUAAGUUGCUUGAUGUCUUAUGUAAAGGUUUAAAUCGCAUCAUUUGCUUAUUUCCUUAAGUUUAAGUUGUUCCUUAUAACUUUUAUAAAAAUGUGUGAAAAUACAAAAACACCCUAUGAUAAUGUUUAUUAAUUGUUUAAAAUUUGAGUUUUUAGUACUUCUCUAAUUAAAUUAGUGUCGAGUUGAUUCGUAACAUCAACUCAAUCACACUUAAAUUAAAGUUUCCAUACAUAGAACACCAGGUGGGUGAGAGUGAUAGACGAGAUUUAUGAAAAAAAUUCAUGUAAAAUAACAAUGAAGUUUCGGUUAAAAUAAUAAAUUUAAUUUGUAAUAUUUAUAAUGAUAAAUUUACACAGAAUACUUGCCAUUUGCAUAUUUUUUAUAAGUUUAUUUUAUUUUUUAAAAUAAAGUUUAUAUAAAGGUAUGAAAUGCAAAACUACCUUAUAAUAAUAUUUAUUAAUCGUUAAAAUUUUGAUUUUUUUAAUACUUUGUCUAAUCGAGUUGGUGUCGAGUUAGUCAAUGAUAUAAUUUAGACAUAUAAUUAGACAACAGUGUAAAAGUGUAGAUACAUAGAUCACAAUGCGCGUGAUAAGCAAAUUUUAUGUAAAAAAAAACUCAUAUAAAUAUUAUAUUAAUAGAUGAGAACAUCUGUAUUUAAUAAUUAGACAACAGUGUAAAAAUGUAGACACAUAGAUUACAAUGGGCGUGAUAAGCAAAUUUUAUGUAAAAAAACUCAUAUAAAUAUUAUAUUAAUAGAUGAGAACAUCAGUAUUUAAAAAAAAAAAUCCAGAAAGCUGAUUGCAUACCAAGGCUUGGAACAUGGCAAUCAUGGUACACAAAAAAGCCAAAAAAAAUUUAGCAAUAAGAUUUCAUAAAGAUAUAAAUUGUUUACAACAGUAAAUUAACACAAGAAAAUAAAAAUAAAACAAAGUAGAAAACUAACCCCCACCCCCAAUUUGCCGUCCACAGUAGUUGUGACCUUAUUAUAUAAUCUUCAAUCCUUAAUAAUCUAUACUAUAUAUAUAGAACACAGACACUUAAAACAUGCAAUAAGCAAACCAUGAUAAUGACCCAAAUUUUAUGUGAAAAUAUUAAACCAAGCAAGCAUCAUAAGCAACAAUCCCAUCCAUGAUCUUGGCCACACUAUCUUUGGACUCCUUUAACACCUUGAUGCUGUUUUUAAGCUUCUCACGCUUUGCAACAAUGGCAGGAGAUUCCACCAGCAUCAUCUUUAUCCCAUGUCCAUCUGGUCCCAUCAGCUCCUUCACAAUCUCAUCAAUGUCAUUGUGUACAAGAUUAUGAACAUGGUAUCGUAAAUGCAAUGCCAUGGAAUCAACCAAUCUCACCUUAAAUACCUUCCAAUAAGCAACCAUUCUCAUCUUCAGGUCGAAAGCUUGUUGCAGGAUCGAAACAUCCGAGUGUUUUCUGAGAUGUUCGAUUUGGAUUUCCCCUAAACCUUCGAGAUCCACACUGCAAGGCAGCGGCCGCAUGUUUGUUCCAGAUAUUUGGUUCAUGAAAUGGUCUUGUUGCUUCAUGAGCUUAUUCCACUCCAUCAUGUAAUCAGGGUUACAUGUGUAGCCUGUUAGCUUCUCCAUUUCUACAAUCUCUUUCACCCUAUUGAUUGAUUGCUCCCUCAGCUUUUGAACAAGGUUGUGAGCAGCUCCUUUUGCGGAUACCUUGAGGUGAUAAUACAUUUCCGAGUGGCGCGUCAAAACAGACAUCACCACAUCGUCUAUGUAAUCCCAAUACUUUUCGCUGAGUUUGAUAGGGAGAUACGAUAUCCUCUCGACUUUUCUCCGUAAGAUACGAAGGAAUGCUUCACAGGGAAGGAAGUUCGGUAGUUCGAUCCCCCUAGCAUCUUCCAAACCCUUGAUCUCUUCUGUUAAAAAGUCUUUUGAUAGAUUACUUUCCUCGCAGUUGUGAAGCUCAUCGGAGAACCGGUUCAGCAUUUCAACAAACCGAGCAGUCCCGUGCUUCGUGUUGUCCUCGGGGUAUUCAUCAAAUUCCCCCCUCCAAAGAAGUUUCUUCAGGGAUUCUUUAGCUGCUUGAAUGAUCCUCAUCAUAGCUUGAGUGGCAUCAGCAAUAGAAGUUAAGGCCUUUGGCAUUUUCUCUAGCUCUGAAACAUUUGCAUCCAGCUUUGCACUAAUGUUUUUAACAAUCUCUGGCAAGCACUUUGCAAUCGCAUUAGCUUGAAUUCGGACAAGAUUUUGAGCCAAAACAUGAACCCCCACAAUUGAUUUAUCAAUACGUGACAAAUGUGCAUUAGUUUCGAACAAUCUAGCCUCUUCCUUCCUUGCUUCUUCAUAGGAUUCAUCACCAAUCCGAUUCCGAACACAAACAUAACCAAGUCCUAUAUUCACAUCAUCUGCAGUAACCUUGUCAACAAGCCCUUCGGGGGCCCUAUCUACUUUAGUAACCACGGCAAGAGUUCUCUCACCAUUCUUGUCCACUUGUUGCGACAUCCUAAUGGAUUCACAAGUUGAAAAAUCAACCGUAGCCGACAGAACAUUAAGGAUAAUGCUUUCCUUUGGUGUUAUGUACUGCAUGAUGAUGUCCCGGAUCUGCUCAUAUAUGUUGUCGGGCUGACCAUGGACAGGAACUCUGGUAAUUCCAGGAAGAUCAACCAUGGUAAGAUCAGGAACCCCAUCUUUUCUCACCACCAAAGUCAAAGGGAUGUCAGAUAUGCUCUUACCCGGGCCUGCAACCUCAUCCGUUGCAAUGUUUAUGGCUGUUGCAAUCUGGGGUUCCUCCACUGGGACCGUUUUGCCAUUGUACUCCAAGUAGAGCUCUGGCCUUGGACUUGCAUGGUUCUGCAACCUGAUUAUGAGAGGUACCCUGGUGCAAAUGCCCUGGCUACGAGGAAGGUUAACACCAGCCAAGGAUUCAAGAACACUAGACUUGCCUGAUGACUGGUCUCCAACCACAACAAUUGUGGGGAGCUGUAUGCCUUCUUUCAUCACCAUGAGCAGCCUGAGCCUGUCGAUGACGUCAAGCAAAGGUCGGAUUUUGUCAUUGUAUGAUGAAAUAAUUGGGGCUUGAACUGCUGCUGCUCCCACCACCUUAGGUUCUUCCAUAGAAGGAGUUGCUGGUUGAGAAUCUUCAUAAUCAUUGAUGACACCAAUGGUCCCUGAAUCAGCUUCAUCAUAGCUUCCCAUUUUCUAGAAGUCGAGACAGGACGGGAAUUGGCCAAACUUGAUGUUUUAGAUGGUUUUUUUUGUUGGAAGUUGGAAAGCAAUAAACUUGAACUAAAGUGAAGACAAAUUCAAUGAAGCAUGUUUGGCUUUAUAAUGAAAAUUAAAAUAGGGUAAAGCACCAAAAAUAGGAACAAUAAAGCGAUAGCAUCCUAUACCAAACCCCAAGAAACAAGCAAAGGAAGCUAUAAUGGGAAUGGAAAACUUUAGGUUAUACUUUGAAUUGUAGAAAAUAAUGAUACAAGGACAGAAGAGAGGAAACAGAACAAAAUCAAAUCGUGACCGACCAAAAGAUGAGUGUGUCGAUGACAGAAAGUUCGAAACAUAAACAGCACCACUAGUUCCUACAGGAACUAGACAGCA
rnacentral:lncRNA from 1 species